UGCAUAGGUUAUGGGAUGUAUGGAUGCACAGGGUUAUGGGAUGCACGGGUUAUGGGAUGUAAGGGUUAUGGGAUGCACGGACUGUGGAUGGAUGGAUGGCGCUGGGAGAUGCACGAGACGCACGGAGCCGUGGGGCGCUGAGGCUGCGGGCUGUACGCGUGACACGUGCCGGCUCUCGGGGGCCGCCCGGGCAGUCCGGGGGUUGCGGGGCCGAGCGCACGUUCCCCCCCCACUCCCCCCCCCUCCCCACCCGUACGUGCGCGCGGCGCCGGGGCUGAUGGCUCCUGCAGCUGCCGCGGGGGGCGGGGAGCCGCGGCCGGGCGCGGUGCGGCGCGGAGCAGCGCGGGCGCCUCCGUCCGUCCGCGGGCGCCGUCCGUCCCUCCGCGCCGCCGCCGCCGCCGCCGCUCCCCCGCAGCGUAAGUGCCGCACCGCCGCCGUGCCGUUCCCGGUGGCUGCGGAGGAGCGCGGCGCGGGUCGGGGGCGCCCGGCGGGGUCGACAGGUCCGGGGGGCGACCCGGUUGAUGGCCCCAGAAGAGGCCCAAUGGAAGAAGGGCUGAUCGACUAUGGCGGCGAGAGGAC
rnacentral:lncRNA from 1 species